rnacentral:lncRNA from 1 species
GGGAUUAUGUGCCCACAACCACACCCAGCUAAUUUUUGUAUGUUUUUGUAAAGACAGGUUUCGCCACCUUGACCAGGCUGUGAACUCCUAACUUCAAGUGAUCUGCCUGCCUUGGCCUCCCAAAGUGCUGAGAUUACAGAUUACCUGGUUAAUGUAGAUUAUCUUGGGCCCAGAAACUCUGAUUACAG